CACAGAGUUCAAGUCUUGAGACGAUACAUGGCGACGAUGGCCGAACUGAGACAGAAUUCCAGGUAUCGAAAGGACGAGAUUUUUCAACGCAUAAAGUUGACAACAUUUGUACAACUGAUUCUGCAGGUGGAACAGCUGAAAGACGCGCCGAUGGAAGCAGGCAUUCGCUGCUGGUGAUGAGGC